rnacentral:lncRNA from 1 species
AUUCAUAUGCAAGUAGUUUUGGAAUAAUUUUAGAAAUCUCACCGGUUUUUGCGACCUUUUAUUUUGAUAUAAAAGGAAUUUCAAUCAUUCCAGAACAAUAUAGUUCUUCAGAAACUCACAAUGAAAUACUUCGCGUUUGUUGCCUUCUUGGUGUGCGUCUUGUUGGCGCUGGCUGGCGCUUCCGUGGUAUCCUCAAACCAACACCAUCAUGGGACACACGAGAGGGUUGGACGCAGCGCUGAGCCUGGGUAUCGCUACCAGGGCAGAGGAAACCACGGCCGGAGUUACGGGCGAGGAGGCUAAAUUACGAUGUUGACGCAUAACUGUUUUGUGCAACACUGUUAUAGGAACAUGCUCUAUACUAAGCUUCUUC